GGCCGGAUGACAUUUGAUUGAGAUGAUCUUUUUUGAGACCAGAUAUCUUUUCAAGAUCUAUAAUUUGAUGCCAAGGGAGUUGAAUUGGAUCGAAAUUCGAUCAUUUGGACUCUGACGUAGGCUGGUCAAAUCGAAAUGUCAAUUAUUGUCGAUUGGGUGUUCUCUCACUUAUCUACAGUAACUAAAUUUUUUGAUGGCUUGGUCUCUAUUGACUU
rnacentral:lncRNA from 1 species